AUGACCUUUAAGGAAGUUUCCGGUCCCUCGGGGCCUCUCACCCACCUCGCAUACCCACAGGCUCAUAUGCAUAUACGUACAGGCGGUGCAUCCAUGCAUGUGCCCACAGGAGCACACAUACACACAUGUAGAGGCUGUGCCCCCAUGUGUGUGCCCACAGGAGCACACACGUACAGGCUGUGCCCCCGUGUGCGUGCACACAGGAGCACACAUACACACAUCUAUGGGCUGUUCCCCCGUGUGCGUGCACACAGGAGCAUGCAUACACACAUGUACAGACUGUGCCCCCAUGCGCGUGCACACAGGAGCACACAUACACACAUCUAUGGGCUGUUCACCCAUGUGCGUGCACACAGGAGCAUGCAUACACACAUGUACAGACUGUGCCCCCAUGCGCGUGCACACAGGAGCACACAUACACACAUCUAUGGGCUGUUCACCCAUGCGCGUGCACACAGGAGCAUGCAUACACACAUGUACAGACUGUGCCCCCAUGCGUGUGCACACAGGAGCUCGCAUACACACAUGUAUGGGCUGUGCCCCCUUGCGCGUGCACACAGGAGCACACAUACACACAUGUACAGGCUGUGCCCCCAUGCACGUGCACACAGGAGCACACAUACACACAUUUACGGGCUGUGCCCCCGUGCGCGUGCACACAGGAGCACGCAUACACAUAUGUACAGGCUGUGCCCCCAUGCGCGUGCACACAGGAGCACACAUACACACAUUUACGGGCUGUGCCCCCGUGCGCAUGCACACAGGAGCACACAUACACACAUGUACAGGCUGUGCCCCCGUGCACGUGCACACAGGAGCACACAUACACACAUGUACAGGCUGUGCCCCUGUGCGUGUGCACACAGGAGCACAUAUACAUGUACAGGCUGUGCCCCCAUGCACAUGCACACAGGAGUACACAUACACACAUGUAGAGGCUGUGCCCCCAUGUGCAUACACACAGGAGCACACAUACAAACAUGCAGGUGCUAUGCCCCCGUGAGUGUGCACACAGGAGCACGCAUACACACAUGUAUGGGCUGUGCACCCGUGCGUGUGCACACAGGAGCACGCAUACACAAAUGUAGGGGCUGUGCCCCCAUGCGUGUGCACACAAGAGCACACAUACACACAUGUAUAGGCUGUGCCCCCGUGCGUGUGCACACAGGAGCACACAUACAUGUACGGGCUGUAUCCCCAUAUGCAUGCACACAGGAGCACGUAUACACACAUGUACCGGCUGUGCCUCCGUGCACGUGCACACAGGAGCACACGUGUACAGAUUGUGCCCCCGUGCGCAUGCCCACAGGAGCACACAUACAAACAUGUACAGGCUAUGCCCCCGUGCGCGUGCAUACAGGAGCACACACGUACAGGCUGUGCCCCCGUGCACGUGCACACAGGAGCAUGCAUAUACACAUGUAG
rnacentral:lncRNA from 13 species